rnacentral:rRNA from 1 species
GACGAACGCUGGCGGCGUGCUUAACACAUGCAAGUCGAACGGUGACGAAGAGCUUGCUCUUCUGAUCAGUGGCGAACGGGUGAGUAACGCGUGAGCAACCUACCCUUGACUCUGGGAUAACAGUUGGAAACAGCUGCUAAUACCGGAUACGACCCCGGCAGGCAUCUGCUGGGGUGGAAAGCUCCGACGGUCAAGGAUGGGCUCGCGGCCUAUCAGCUUGUUGGUGAGGUAAUGGCUCACCAAGGCGACGACGGGUAGCCGGCCUGAGAGGGCGACCGGCCACACUGGGACUGGGAUACGGCCCAGACUCCUACGGGAGGCAGCAGUGGGGAAUAUUGCACAAUGGGCGAAAGCCUGAUGCAGCAACGCCGCGUGCGGGAUGACGGCGUUCGGGUUGUAAACCGCUUUCAGCAGGGACGAAGUGAAAAUGACGGUACCUGCAGAAGAAGCACCGGCUAACUACGUGCCAGCAGCCGCGGUAAUAC